rnacentral:rRNA from 1 species
AUUGAACGCUGGCGGCGUGCCUAAUACAUGCAAGUCGAACGAGUGGCGGACGGGUGAGUAACACGUGGGAACCUACCCAUCAGACGGGGAUAACACGUGGAAACAGGUGCUCAUCCCGCAAACUGAAGUAUGUACCAGCUGUGCAUUAGCUAGUGGGUGGGGUAACGGCUCACCAAGGCCACGAUCCCUAGCUGGUCUGAGAGGAUGAUCAGCCACACUGGGACUGAGACACGGCCCAGACUCCUACGGGAGGCAGCAGUGGGGAAUAUUGCACAAUGGGCGCAAGCCUGAUGCAGCCAUGCCGCGUGUAUGAAGAAGGCCCUAGGGUUGUAAAGUACUUUCAGUCGGGAGGCGUUACCGACAGAAGAAGCACCGGCUAACUCCGUGCCAGCAGCCGCGGUAAUUC